AUACGGAGGGUCCAAGCGUUAUCCGGAAUCAUUGGGUUUAAAGGGUCCGCAGGCGGUCAAUUAAGUCAGAGGUGAAAGCCCAUCGCUCAACGAUGGAACUGCCUUUGAUACUGAUUGACUUGAGUUAUACGGAAGUAGAUAGAAUAAGUAGUGUAGCGGUGAAAUGCAUAGAUAUUACUUAGAAUACCGAUUGCGAAGGCAGUCUACUACGUAUAUACUGACGCUGAGGGACGAAAGCGUGGGGAGCGAACAGGAUUAGAAACCCUAGUAGUCC
rnacentral:rRNA from 1 species